rnacentral:rRNA from 1 species
AGCAGCCGCGGUAAUUCCAGCUCCAAUAGCGUAUAUUAAAGUUGUUGCAGUUAAAAAGCUCGUAGUUGAAUUUCGGGACCAAUAUGUCGGUCGUGCCUCGGUACGUACUGGCAUCGUUGGUUUCUCCCUUCUGGCGAACCAUGAUGUCAUUUAUUUGGUGUCGUGGGGAAUCAGGACUGUUACUUUGAAAAAAUUAGAGUGUUUAAAGCAGGCUCACGCUUGAAUACAUUAGCAUGGAAUAAUGAAAUAGGACGUUUGAUUCUAUUUUGUUGGUUUCUAGGAUUGACGUAAUGAUUAAUAGGGAUAGUUGGGGGCAUUAGUAUUCAAUUGUCAGAGGUGAAAUUCUUGGAUUUAUUGAAGACUAACUACUGCGAAAGCAUUUGCCAAGGAUGUUUUCAUUAAUCAAGAACGAAAGUUAGGGGAUCGAAGACGAUCAGAUACCGUCGUAGUCUUAACCAUAAACUAUGCCGACUAGGGAUCGGAUGAUGUUAAUUUUUAAUGACUCAUUCGGCGCCUUAAC